rnacentral:rRNA from 1 species
UGGGGAAUAUUGCACAAUGGGGGAAACCCUGAUGCAGCGACGCCGCGUGAGCGAAGAAGGCCUUCGGGUCGUAAAGCUCUUUUAUAUGGGAAGAUAAUGACGGUACCAUAAGAAAAAGCCCCGGCUAACUACGUGCCAGCAGCCGCGGUAAUACGUAGGGGGCGAGCGUUGUCCGGAAUUAUUGGGCGUAAAGGGUACGUAGGCGGUCUAUUAAGUCAGGUGUGAAAGCGUGAGGCUUAACCUCAUUAAGCACUUGAAACUGAUAGACUUGAGUGAAGGAGAGGAAAGUGGAAUUCCUAGUGUAGCGGUGAAAUGCGUAGAUAUUAGGAGGAAUACCGGUGGCGAAGGCGACUUUCUGGACUUUUACUGACGCUCAGGUACGAAAGCGUGGGGAGCAAACAGG